CCUCGCUGUCUACGACAGAGGGUGGGGGAAGAUGCGCCGUUUCCGGUGGCAGGGUCUGGGGAAGGGGCGGCAGGCGCCAUGUCCGGCCGCGAAGGUGGCAAGAAGAAGCCACUGAAACAGCCUAAGAAGCAGGCCAAGGAGAUGGACGAGGAAGAUAAGGCUUUCAAGCAGAAACAAAAAGAGGAGCAGAAGAAACUCGAGGAGCUAAAAGCGAAGGCCGCAGGAAAGGGGCCCUUGGCCACAGGUGGAAUUAAGAAAUCUGGCAAAAAGUAAGCUGUUCCUUGUACCUGAGAAGAUGGUGACCCUUUAUUUCAUCCUUAUUUAAACGUCUAUAUUCCCUGCCAUAACAUCUUUUGCCACCUAAAGCUGGAAUUAAGUGUUGUCUUGGAGCUGUUGUACAUUUAAGAAUAAACUUUUGUAAAAAAAAAAAAAAAAAAAAAAAAUUCUUACAGUGGUUCAUUAUCUCUUAGUUGUUUUCACUAAGUCAUUCCUACCAUAACUGUGAAUUUAAAGUAAAACCAGCUCAGAACCUUGCCAGAGUCUGCUCUUUGGUCCUAGUUCUACCCUAAACUUUGUAUCACCUGAAAUUAAACCAACUCGUUUGAAAGGA